GAGGACCUUCCCACCAUCGUCAUCGUGGCCCACUACGACGCCUUUGGAGUGGCCCCCACGGAGUCUCGCUCUGUCACCAGGCUGGAGUGUAGUGGCGAGAUCUGGGCUCACUGCAACCUUCGCCUCCCGGGUUCAAGCGAUUUUCCUGCCUCAACCUCCGGAGUAGCUGGGACUACAGGCGCGUGCCACCACACCUGGCUCAUUUUUUGUAUUUUUAGUAGAGAUAGGGUUUCACCAUGUUGGCCAGGAUGGUCUUGAACUCCAGACCUUGUAAUCUGCCCAUCUUGGCCUCCCAAAGUGCUGGGAUUACAGGCGUGAGCCACCGAGCCCAGGCAAAUUUAUUUUUUGAGAUAAUGAUAGAACAUAAAGUUCACCAUUUUAGAGCGUACGAGUGGGUUUUAGUACAUCCAAAGUUGUACGGUCUCCACCUCUAAUUCCAGAACAUUCCAUCACCCCAAAAAGCAGCCCCUCCCCAUCAGCAGUCACUCCUGGUCCCCUCCCCAGCCCCAGAACCCCAGCAUGUGCGCAUCCGUCCCAGUGCCUGUGGACUGGCCUGUUGGACGGGUCCUAUGAACAGAUCCUACACUGUGGACAAAGUCUUUUGGAUCUGGCUUCUCUCACUGAGGAGGGUGUUUAUUGUCCCCCUGAAUUCAGUGCCACCGAGGUCCCCUUUAUAUGCUGUGGCCUUGGGACGGUCCCAAGCCAUUGCAAUGUCCAAGAAACAGUGUGGCCUUAUUGAGAAUGCUGCUUUAGAUCACAAAGGUGCAUCCAAGGGCGGGAAGGGCAUGUGGUCGGGCUGUGCAGGUCUCUCCACAGCCGGGGCUCGAGGGUGGAAGGGUGGGUCCCACAGAGGGGACCCCGCACAGAGACCAGGGCUGGACAGAUGCUGCCCUCUGUGAGCGAAUCUGGCCUGGCCCUGGGCUCCAAAUUCUGCAUGUAGCUUCUCCCGGGCGCGGGCCGAGCCGAGGUGGAUGAGGAGAGUCCUGGGCUUGGCGGGGCCCCGCAGACCCCAGGCCAUCAGUCGGGGAUUGAAUACAGGAGGGGAGCGACCACAGCUGCCCACUGGACGUGGCAGAGGGGCUGGGGGACAGCACAGAGAU
rnacentral:lncRNA from 10 species